rnacentral:rRNA from 1 species
UCCACCUGGGGAGUACCUUCCCAACAAUGAAACUCUCAGGAAUUGACGGGGACCCCCACAAGCGUUGGAGCAUGUGGUUUAAUUUGAAGCAACGCGGAGAACCUUACCAAGCCUUGACAUCGUGCUGACCGUCCUUUAGCCGGGGCUUCCCUUCGGGGCAGCAGAGACAGGUGGUGCAUGGUUGUCGUCAGCUCGUGUCGUGAGAUGUUGGGUUAAGUCCCGCAACGAGCGCAACCCUUAUCCUUAGUAGCCAGCAUAUCAGAUGGGAACUCUGGGGAGACUGCCGGAGACAAUCCGGAGGAAGGUGGGGAUGACGUCAAAUCAUCAUGCCCCUUAUGGCUUGGGCUACACACGUGCUACAAUGGUGGUAACAAAGUGACGCGACCCCGUGAGGGCAAGCCAACCACAAAAAAGCCAUCUCAGUUCGGAUUGUAGUCUGCAACCCGACUACAUGAAGCUGGAAUCGCUAGUAAUCGC